rnacentral:tRNA from 1 species
GGGUUGUAGCUCAGUGGUAGAGCGCUUGCCUUGCACGCGUGAGGCACUGGGUUCGAUCCUCAGCACCCA